rnacentral:pre_miRNA from 1 species
UUUUGGGAGGCUGAAGCUGCCAGCAUGAUCUGUGUAUAGAUAGUGGUACCAGAUCAUCCUGCGGCUUCAUUCACUCAAAUCACCAACAAU